AUUGAACGCUGGCGGCAGGCCUAACACAUGCAAGUCGAGCGAGCGGAGGACGGGGGAGUAAUGUAUGGGGACUGCCCGAUAGAGGGGGGUAAAUACUGGGAACGGUAGCUAAUACCGCAUACUAUCGGAUAACCCAUAUGGGAUUAGCUCGUAGGUGAGGUAAUGGCUCACCUAGGCGACGAUCCCUAGCUGGUCUGAGAGGAUGAUCAGCACCACGGGGACGGAGACACGGCCCAGGCCCCUACGGAGGCAGCAGUGGGGAAUAUUGCACAAUGGGUGCAAGCCUGAUGCAGCCAUGCCGCGUGUAUGAAGAAGGCCCUAGGGUUGUAAAGUACUUUCAGUCGGGAGGCGUUACCGACAGAAGAAGCACCGGCUAACUCCGUGCCAGCAGCCGCGGUAAUUC
rnacentral:rRNA from 1 species